CCUACGGGAGGCAGCAGUGGGGAAUUUUGGACAAUGGGCGCAAGCCUGAUCCAGCAAUGCCGCGUGAGUGAAGAAGGCCUUCGGGUUGUAAAGCUCUUUUGUCAGGGAAGAAACGGUCUACUCUAAUACAGUGGGCUAAUGACGGUACCUGAAGAAUAAGCACCGGCUAACUACGUGCCAGCAGCCGCGGUAAUACGUAGGGUGCAAGCGUUAAUCGGAAUUACUGGGCGUAAAGCGUGCGCAGGCGGUUAUAUAAGUCAGAUGUGAAAUCCCCGGGCUCAACCUGGGAACUGCAUUUGAGACUGUAUGGCUAGAGUGUGUCAGAGGGGGGUAGAAUUCCACGUGUAGCAGUGAAAUGCGUAGAUAUGUGGAGGAAUACCGAUGGCGAAGGCAGCCCCCUGGGAUAACACUGACGCUCAUGCACGAAAGCGUGGGGAGCAAACAGGAUUAGAUACCCUGGUAGUCCACGCCCUAAACGAUGUCUACUAGUUGUCGGGACUUAAUUGUCUUGGUAACGCAGCUAACGCGUGAAGUAGACCGCCUGGGGAAGUACGGUGCAAGAUUAAAACGUUAAGNGUUAGUUGAGNGAGAGNGNGACGAGGCACACGGAGGGUUAGAGG
rnacentral:rRNA from 1 species